CACCAAUCAAGCCUCGCUUGGUCUUGGGCGUCCGCGGUUCCGCCGCGCGCCCCAAAGUCUCCGGCUGAGCCGCCCGUCUCGAAGCGUUGUGAUCUAAUCGAAUCGCUUGCGGGAUCGGGCCGGCUUGUCCGCCGUCAAAACCCCCCUUUCUUAACA
rnacentral:misc_RNA from 1 species